rnacentral:lncRNA from 1 species
UGUUGAUUGUGAUGAAAUGCCAGUUGAAGCAUAUGUCCUGCGAGCUUAGGGGUGCUACAAGUUGACCACUGCAGCAGUAAAGAUGACUCUGAAGAAUGGCAUGGGAUGGAUCCUUUCGAAUGCACUUGAGCAGCGGUCUCCAACCACAGGGCCACAGAGCUGGAGCUGGAUCUACCAUGAAAGACUUCUGAAUCCAGGAAGAGAGACUGACUGGGCAACAUGUUAUUCAGGGUCUCCCUCUGUUGUCCAAGGCUGGAGUGUAGUAGCGCUAUCGCAGCUGACUGCAGCCUCAACCUUCCAGGCUGAAGCGAUCCUCCUACCUCAGCCUCCCACGUGGCUGAGACUACAGGUGCUUGCCACUAUGCCAACUAAUAUUUGGAAUUUUCGUAUACGU